rnacentral:lncRNA from 1 species
GAAGAGGAAGAGGCCAGCACUGAGGAGGAGGACAAGGAGGGGGCCGUGGUUUCUGCGCCCUCUGUCAAGCUGACCCUCACUAUCCUGCGGCAGACUGGGGGCCUGGGCAUCAGCAUUGCGGGCGGCAAGGGCUCCACACCCUAUAAGGGGGACGACGAGGGCAUAUUCAUCUCUCGGGUGUCCGAGGAAGGCCCUGCGGCCCGGGCUGGAGUCCGUGUGGGUGACAAGCUCCUGGAGGUGAAUGGUGUGGCUCUGCAGGGCGCCGAGCACCACGAGGCCGUGGAGGCGCUCCGGGGGGCCGGCACUGCCGUGCAGAUGCGAGUGUGGCGGGAGCGCAUGGUGGAGCCUGAGAACGCGGUCACCAUCACGCCGCUGCGGCCCGAGGAUGAUUACAGCCCCCGAGAGCGGCGGGGAGGGGGGC